AUUGAACGCUGGCGGCAGGCUUAACACAUGCAAGUCGAGCGGGGUGAUGGUGCUUGCACUAUCACUUAGCGGCGGACGGGUGAGUAAUGCUUAGGAAUCUGCCUAUUAGUGGGGGACAACAUCUCGAAAGGGAUGCUAAUACCGCAUACGUCCUACGGGAGAAAGCAGGGGAUCACUUGUGACCUUGCGCUAAUAGAUGAGCCUAAGUCGGAUUAGCUAGUUGGUGGGGUAAGGGCCUACCAAGGCGACGAUCUGUAGCGGGUCUGAGAGGAUGAUCCGCCACACUGGGACUGAGACACGGCCCAGACUCCUACGGGGGGCAGCAGUGGGGAAUAUUGGACAAUGGGGGGAACCCUGAUCCAGCCAUGCCGCGUGUGUGAAGAAGGCCUUAUGGUUGUAAAGCACUUUAAGCGAGGAGGAGGCUCUUUUGGUUAAUACCCAAGAUGAGUGGACGUUACUCGCAGAAUAAGCACCGGCUAACUCUGUGCCAGCCGCCGCAGUAA
rnacentral:rRNA from 1 species